UACGUAGGGGGCUAGCGUUGUCCGGAAUCAUUGGGCGUAAAGAGCGCGUAGGCGGCCAGAUAAGUCCGGUGUGAAAGUCAAAGGCUCAACCUUUGAAUGCCGCUGGAAACUGUCUGGCUAGAGUCCGGGAGGGGCGAGUGGAAUUCCAGGUGUAGCGGUGAAAUGCGUAGAUAUCUGGAGGAACACCGGUGGCGAAGGCGGCAUCCUGGGACCGGUAUUGACGCUGAUGCGCGAAAGCCAGGGGAGCAAACGGG
rnacentral:rRNA from 1 species